rnacentral:misc_RNA from 1 species
GAUGAAGAACGCAGUAAAAUGCGAUAAUUAAUGUGAAUUGCAGAAUUCAGUGAAUCAUCGAAUCUUUGAACGCACAUUGCGCCCGCCAGUAUUCUGGCGGGCAUGCCUGUUCGAGCGUCAUUACAACCCUCAGGCCCCCGGGCCUGGCGUUGGGGAUCGGCGGAAGCCCCCUGCGGGCACAACGCCGUCCCCCAAAUACAGUGGCGGUCCCGCCGCAGCUUCCAUUGCGUAGUAGCUAACACCUCGCAACUGGAGAGCGGCGCGGCCACGCCGUAAAACACCCAACUUCUGAAUGUUGACCUCGAAUCAGGUAGGAAUACCCGCUGAACUUAAGCAUAUCAAUAAGCGGAGGA